AUACUUACCUGACAGGGGAGAUACCGUGAUCACAAAGGUGGUUUUCCCAGGGCGAGGCUUAUCCAUUGCAUCCGGAUGUGCUGACCCCUGCGAUUUCCCCAUAUGUGGGAAAUUGGACGGCAUGAUUUGUGGUAGUGGGGGAUUGCAUGCAUGCUUUCCCCUU